ACUUCUGAAUUCCACUAAAUCUCGGGAGAAAGCCAACUUCUCAGCUGUGACUUUGGCCAUUUUCCCCCCUUUUGUUAAAAAAAAAAUGACAAGCAAUGUUCUUUCUUGCAUCCCUGCAACCGACUCCUCUUUCUCCUCCUCAAUUCCUUGGGAGUGAAAUCACCCAGGAUAUAAAUAAAAUGUUCUAAAUAAAGCUCGCUCAACUGCCGCAGCAUCAGACGUAGCUGCGUAUGCGUGUGACUGUCAGCCAGAAUGAAUUAACCUCCAGUGGAAGUCAUUUUCAUGCGAUUAAUUACUCUUCUGUCAGCUGAAAGAGACAAGUGCACCAGGGCCCGGGACGUCGUGAACUUCCUGAAAAGGCGACCCCUGGCCGGAGCACGGCCGUGGCUUUUGUUCCGAUGUUGUUUCUUGCCUCACAGUCCUUAUUUCUCAAUUACUGCAAAAUGAAAAAAUGAAAACAAAGGAACUGACAUCAGAGAGAGGUGCAGGGCGCGCUCGUUAAGCAGCAGGAAUGCAGCUCUUGUGCGUCAGCUGCGUUUUUGUUCUCCACCUUGGGAAAGGGGGUAGGUAGUCUGGGCUUUGCAGGCUCUAGCCUGUUGAUGUGGCGAGUCUGGGCGGCAAGGGUUCUCUCUGUGGCUGUCAGCGUCUCCGAACAAGGAGGGAAAGCAGCAGGAUGAACCGGAGAAUGGCCGGGUCCCGUCUCAAAUAACGCCGCCUCCUGCUCCUGAUCCAGUAAAUGAUGAUGAAUCUGUGCAGUAGAUUGUGCAGGGCCCUCGGAACAGAACGCUCUCAAUGGCUCCCUCACGACCCUCAGAACACUGUGGCCACGCAUGUCACUGACCACGGGCAUCGGCAGGCAGCUCGAACCGGGAGGAGAGUUGGGCGUGGAACCCAGGCAGCCUGGGAGGGGACGCGGACCCCGCAUGGGCCAAACACCCACCUCUCUUCUUCCCUGUGUCGCUGUGUGCAGAAGUCCAGCCGGGUGGAUUUUUCCUUCGGUCUGUUUCACGUCACUGCUUGCACAGUUCCUGAGAGAAGUCGCAUUUUAGGACAUUUCUACAGGCAUAUUUCAAGCUCACUGAUUCUCUCCACGAUGGUGUCCGGUCUACAGUAGAUGGACCCAGCAAAGGAAUUCUUCAUUUUUGUCCCAGCAUUUUCUGUCUCCAGCAGUUCCUUCUGACUGCCCGCUGCUUCCAUCACCCACCUGUUCUUGCAUGUUGUCCAUUUCCUGUAUUAAAUCCCUUACCAUAGUAACCACAGCCACUUUUAAUUCCCAGCCUAAUGAUUUCAACAUCUGUAUCACAUCUGAGUCUGGUCCUGACCCUGCCUGUCUCGUGUGUGUGUGUGUGUGUGUGUGUGUGAGUGUGAGUGUGUAUGUGUGUGUUUCUGGCCUUUUAGCCAGCCUGUAAUUUUUUUGCAAAGUCAGACAUGAUGCGUCAGGUAAUAGGAGAUGAGGUCAACAGGCUUCGGUGUGAGGUUUUGUGUUUAUCGGGCUGAGGGUUGGGCAGACGUCCGAAGCUUCCAUCUCUUCCAGUGUGUUUAGUUUUUUCCUUUGGGUUUCCCUAGAAACUUCCUUUUAGAAAGUCUGUGUCUUUCAGGUGUGCCCCACUGCUGUUAUCCUGAGUCCCGCUGGUGAGGUGGGGAGACCCUGAGGAGCAGAGACAGCUGUAAUCAUAGGAUUAGGUCUCGGGGGUGUUUUUCAGAGCCUGUCGGAGUCCUGGGCUGCGACCUUCAGAGGAAUCUCUCCUUCUCUGUUUUUUCUCCUCUUAUGCGAGACAUGGACACCAGAGUGGGGCCGGCUUAUGCCACUGCCCUGGCCCUCCAUCUGAGAAGAUGGUAGGUGUCCCCUGGGAGCAGGAUUUGUUGUUGAGAACAGAAUUUCCUAUGAGUAUUUUUAGAUGAUGGCUUUUUGCUUUGGCUGCCUCGAGCAUGUUGGAAUCUUCUCCAACCCGCACAGAGAGAACCUGCGGAGUCUCCUGGAGGUCGAGUGGGGCCCCUGGGCCUGGGCCUCCGGCAGUCGGAGCGCGACUCCCCCCAGUGAUCAGGCCCUGGCCCAGCGGCCUCUGCUCUCCACGGCCAUGAGGUUACUCUUCGCGUUCACCCGAGUCUCCGAACUUCAAGGCAGCGUUUGGCCCCGGGGCCUCACUUCCGUGAUGUUGGUUUUGUUGAUUUUCAGUUUGUUCAGCUUUUUUCUUACUGUGAAAUCUUCUGAGCCUUUUACGUGUGACAGCUGAAACUUGGAGUCUGUUUCCUUUUUUUAAUUCCUAUUUUGCCCAGUUUUCUUUUGGUUGUUUGAUCAUUUUUGGCAAUUCCAUCUUGAUUGACUGAUUUAUAGUGCUUUGUACAUUUCUUGGUUGUUGCUCUAGGUGUUACAUUAUAUACAUGUAACAUUUCACUGUCUGCUGGUGCUGAUAUUUUAUCAGAUUGUAGAACGUGGAAUCUUAAUUCUUUUAAUGUUCUUUUGUGCCCUCACAUUUAUGAUGAAGUCGUCUCUGUAUUCCUUAAGAAAGACAUCAGAGGGGUCGGUGCCAUGGCUCACUUGGUUAAUCCUCCACCUGCGGCGCUGGCAUCCCAUAUGGGUGCGGGGUUCUAGUCCCGGUUGCUCCUCGUCCAGUCCAGCUCUCUGCUGUGGCCCAGGAGUGCAGCGGAGGAUGGCCCAAGUGCUUGGGCCCUGCACUGGC